rnacentral:lncRNA from 1 species
UUCCAAAUAAAUGUAUGUAAACAUUUCCACCGAAAUCGGUUAAAGAAAUUAGGAAUAAUCUGGUAAAUUAAGAAUCUGAAUAGAUGUCCAGUUAAUAAAACCCACUUGCCUCUUUUAUUUCACGAACGAGCAGAGGUAUAAAGCUAAAGAGAUUAUCGCAAUGUUAAACAUUAAAAUAGCUGGAAAAAUAGCUGAACUAUUAUUGAUCCAAACAAGGUCAUAAGAUUAGCGGAAAAAAGGAAAACAAAAUCUUCUUCCCUCCCAAAAUCAGAUAUUACAGUUAAUCUUUUUGAACCUUUGGAACGUUAUAUCUUUUAUUAGUUUUUACCAAGAUUCCCAAAUCAA